UGGAUUGUGGCUCAGUGGUAGAGCACUUACCUAGCAUGGGGGGCCUUGGGUUCAAUUCCCAGCACUGCAU
rnacentral:tRNA from 1 species